CAGAGAUGUUGUUUUAAACCGGCUAAUUUGCAGUGCUCUGCUACAACAGCCCGAGGAAUUAAUAUAGAUGCCUAAGCCUGGUUUUCACGAAACAGCAGGAAAAGAAUGCUGCUGAUCCCGUUCGGUUUUUUGGUUGUGAGGUAUGUGGGAUCUGAGCUCCCCUAUCAAGGAGUGAAUCUGCAUCCCCUGCAUUGGAAGGUGAAGUCUUAACCACUCGACCACCAGGGAAGUCCCAGUACUUAUUUCUUACUUAUUCUGAGUUCAAGUCUUUUUGGAGGGUUUUGCCCUUCAGUGAAGUUUGUUCUAAAUUGCUCCCCCCACAACUGAAAAUGAAUGGGAAAGUCCCAGGAUGAUCAGGAAUUUUUCUUGAGUAUAAAUCUGAAACAGAAUCUCCCAGAUCUCAAAGACCUUUCAGAUAGAAAUCAGAAGGCUCCAGUCUGGAAUAGCACCUUUCAAAUCAGGUCACAAGAUUCCUCCUUUUAUGAGUUUCAUGGACUUCCCUGGAGGCCCAGUGGUUAAGACUCAGCUUCCAAAGCAGGGGGCGUAGGUUCUAUCCCUGGUCUGGGAACUAAGAUCCCACACGCCACUCAGUGCAGCCAAAAAACAAAACAAGAAAAAAAACCCACUACCUGUCUCCUUGUGUAAGUUUCCUUCUGUUUAAAGGAUUUCCAUGAACUAUCUUUUCAGCUUUAGUCUGAUGGUGACAAAUUCUUUUCAUUUUUCUCCAUAAGAAUGUCUUGAUAUCCUCUUCUACCUGAAGAAUGUUUUCACUGAAUGUAGAAUUUUUUGGAGUCUCCGUUCUUUUCUUUUAAUGCUUCAAAAAUGUUGAGCCACUUCUUUUGGCCUCCAUGAUUUCUGAUGAGAAAUCUGACAUCAUUCAAAUUGUUUUUAUUCUACUUACUUGUAGGCAUCACUUCUCUCUCUCUCUCUCUCUUUUUUUUUUUCCCUGUCUUUAGCUUUCAGAAGUUGGUUAGGAUCAAUCUUGGUGUGUAUUUCUUUGGGCUUAUCCUGUUUGGGAUUCAACAGCUUCUUGAAUCUAUGGGUUAAUAUCUUCUGCCAAGUUCAGAACACUUUCAGCCACUAUUUUGCUGAGCUGUUUUUCAGUCUCACACUCCUUCCCUUCUCUGGAAAGACUCGCUAUGAUCUCACAUAUACCCGAGGUUCUCUCCAUUUUUUUUUUCUUUCAGUUUAUUUUCUUUAUGUAGUUCAAACUGAAUAAGUCUUAUUGAUCUCACUUCAAACUCACUGAUUUAUUCUCCUGUCUGCUAUUGAGCUCUUCCAGGGAGUUCUUAUAUUUUAUUAUAUUUCUCAGUUCUAAAAUUUUCUUUUGGCUCUUCUUUAUAGUUUCCAUUUCUUUGCUGAAAUUUCCCAUUUUUUCACUUGUCUAAAGCAUGUUCAAAAUUUUUCAUUGCAGCAUUUUUUAUGAUGGAUCUAAAACCCCCGUCGGCUAGUUCCAACAUCUGUAUUAUCUUGGUCUUGCCAUCUGUUUGACCAUCUUUUCUCAUUCUAGUGAAGAUUUUCCUGAUUCAUGGGAGUAGGGUUUCUUUUUCUAAAUUAGUUCCAGACAUAUUGGCUAUUAUAUUACGAAAUUGUGCGUCUUAUUGAAACCUUCAGUUUUAGCAGGUUUCCUCUGACACCACACCUUUGGAUGGGGUGGGAUGCUGUCUUUGACUGCCAGGUGGGAGUGGAAGCCAAGUUCUCUGCAUGAAACUAUGGAGGAUGGAGGGCUUUUGAACUGGAUGGUUAGGAUGAAAGUCCCGGCUCUGACAUCACUCCUGUGUGGUGAGAGGCAGGGAGGAGGGUGCCUCAUUCCAGCGAGAGGAGGAUGGAAGUCUAGGCUCUCCACUCAACCUCUGUUGACAAGGGUGGGGAUGGGGCCUGUUAUUCCUGAGGCAUUUGACUGCAGU